CAGUCCUUGAACGCUCCGUGGUUUGUUUGCAUGGACAACGUUCUCUGACGUUGUCACAGAAAAUAAGUGUUUUUUGCCACUCCUUCUUUGUCUCGUUUAGUCCAACAAACGUUUCUUGCUGUGCAUGAAUGGACAAAGACGUCUUAUUAGUCGACGCAGCAUUGGCUGCUGUGACGCGAGAAAUUGGGCCGCCAUCUUGAAGUGGUGAUGAGGUGAUGAUGAGGAGCCGGCGAGCAGCCCCAACUGACAGUUGACAGCUCCAGAUGGAUUUUUUGAGCAAAUGGACUCAAAGGUCAACCCUCAGGUGGACAAAAGGGCAGCUAUCGCCGCCCGCCACGCCUUCAAAGAUCCAAGGAGAAGUCACAUGACUUGUUGUCUUGCAGGUAAACGCACUCGAUGCUACGUCAACAUUUUUCGACCGAUUCCGAAAAAUCCAACAGCAGCCCAUUCAUACCAGCUAGUGCACAGAUGUCAAACUCAAGGCCCAGGGGCCAAAUACGGCCAGCCACUUCAUUUAAUUUGGCCCUCGAAAACCUGCAAAUAAUAUGUAUUAAUAAAGUACUGUAACUUUUCUUACUAAAUGUAUUAUUUCUUUCUAGUUUGGGAGUUAAAAAUAUAUGUACUUUAUGUCAUUUCAAAUUAUAAUAGUUUAAAUAUUGUCUAAUUAUGCAAUAAUAUAUUAUCAAACAUUCAGACCAUUGUUUGAAUACAAAUAUACACUAAUAAUAAUGAUUUCAACGCAAGUUAUCCAUCAAAUUGUGCAAUGUAAAAGUAGCAAUAGAUUUCAUGGUAAAAUUGUAAAAUUGACUGUGUUUUUACAGCAUUUUUCUCUAAAUGAAAAAAACUACUUUUUUUUAACUGUAAUAAAUUAUGGUGCCGUUUUGGCAUUUACAGUAACACACCGAAACAUCUACAGUUGUUGAUUUGCGGAAAAAACUGAAACAAACUGGCAGCCCAGGUGACAAAAUGUAAUUGUAAAUUUGCAGUAUUUUAUUGACAGUAAAAACAAAUCUAAAGGGGGGGGGGGCUAAUCAACUUCUACGACACAAAUUUCACUUAAAGCGGGUAUUUUUUGGAACAUAACCCAAGCCUUAAACGAAACAAAAAUCUUACAAUAUACAUUUUUUCUUUUUUAGUAAUGUAAGUCACAAAUCCAGUGAAAUAAGUCCACUCUAAAAGUUUUUUUUAUGUCCAAUGCUUCACUUUAAACGCUACUGUAAACCUGAGCUUUACAGAUACCACCUGUUGGUUCCCCUCACAGGCCGUGUAAAGUCUCCCAAAUAAAGUGGUCCAUGCUCGCCGGAGCUACGAGCGGGGUUAACCGGGUCAUGUUGGAACUAAGGAGGGUGGAAGAGAGAAAAAUGGGAGCCAUGAUGGAGGCUGUAAGGAGAGGGAGGUCCCUGGGGAGCUCAUUACACUUGGACGCCAACACACACACACCUCCCGGGUUUUUUAACACACACACGGAGACUUAUUAUACUGUACGUGUGUUACAUGUAUUGGCUCAAAGCCUCGCAAACACACACCGUUUUAUUGGUUAAUAGGCUCUUGGGUGGGGUGAAGCCAUCAGGAAGACAUAUUGGGGAUAUAAUAUAAUAGUAACAAUAAUAAUGAUACAUUAGUUGUUGCAAUGGCGGUCGUAUCACGCCGACCUUGUCCUCGUAUUACUGAUUAAGCUUUAAUUGAUAGCUUAGCAUGUCUCCCUGCUGGAUGAAC